UUUGAGCAAUUAUGCAUCAAUUACACAAAUGUAAAGCUGCCAUGACUUUUCAACCAGGUAUCCUCACUUCUUUCUCUCGUUCAAUGUCAACUUUGCAUGUCAUAAUGAUAUCUAGCAACUCUUCGAGACAAAGCAGGAAGAAAAUUAAAAGAGUAAAUUGAUUGAAGCUAGCAUACUAUUUGCUGAUAAUCAAGCUCUCCCGGAUCUCUUUAAGAAGGAAACAGUCCAACAUAGCUCUUUCAUGCUAUGGAAGUAAAGAGCGGGGUAAGCUUCCCUGGUCAAGUAAAGGGUGGUGCACUCUUGGACAAUUCUACUUGAAAUUGAAGUAUGCUAGUGAAAAGCAUGCUGGAACUGACGAAAAACCUGUUGUGCAAUGCGGAAAAUUUUCAAUGAAUGUGGAUGUUGCAUUGGAAGUGCCGAGAAGACCCUGUCAAUGUUGGAUAGAAUGGAAACUUUCGGUCAAUUCAAAAAGAUUGAACUUCUGAUUUCGAUGGGCAGUUAUGAUAAAAAGAUUGUGGUAAACUUGGUGAUUUCUGCAAACACCUACGUCUAACUGGACAGGUGGUUGUCUCUCGCAUACCAAACGCAUUCUGUCCAAAGUGCUUACCACAUGGCCACCAGAUAUAUGCUGUCUUCUGAUUUCUCUUACUACGUGAGUACUUAUACCUGCUAUCACAGUGAAAACCAAACAAGUUUUUGUUUCAGGAGCAUUAUAAGAUGAACACUCGAUGUAGCUAUGGUUGUAGUAGAAGAGAACAAACUCGUAGUAGUAAAUGAAGGAACUGAUGAAAAGAGAGAUUUUAACAUUCAAGUGCUUGAUCUUAAAAAUAUGUUUGAGAUUCAUUUAGUUUUCAUUGAAUUACUGUAAACAUUAACAGGAAGGGCCCUGGGACUAUUCUAGAAAUAAAAUGGCAUGCUAUUCAUUUCUAAGAAUCAUUUAUAUUUUGAACAUUUGACAUAAAAAAAUUGUUUCAGGCUGAUAGGCAAAGAGCUAAUGAGAAAGAAAGGACAUGCUGAAAUGGAGAAUUCAAGGAUGGGGAAGUUACAAGGAACUGAAAGGAGAAUGCAACUUCAGGACUAUUCUAUAAGACAGGCUGCAGGAUAGCUGGAUAAUUCAUUUCUGUUGGUAUCUUACAGAUUUGGAAACCGAGCGAUUUUUCUACCACACAUUACCUCUUGAAGUUGGACCUCCGCUUCAUAAGGAGUUUUUGUGCGAGUCUUUCUUUCAUAAUAAGCUGACACUGACUGCCAUAGAUACUGUUCUGAAAGAGGAGAUUACUGAUACCAUUCGAGACCGAAUUCAAUCUUGAGAUACCUCUCAUGAUUUUGAACUAUAGGGAUCUCACACAUCGAAUGUUCACGUGUAUCAGGAUACUUCUCCACUAUGAUUAGUACGGAGGCGUAUACUACAAUGUUAUGAUAUGGUAUUAUGUACACCUUGAUACUAUGUUAGUUCCCUUCCCUUCGUGGUAUACCGGCUGCGUGAGUGCAUGCUAGUUGAAGGGUCAAGUCUAGUUCCCUUCCCUUCGUGGUAUACCGGCUGCGUGAGUGCAUGCUAGUUGAAGGGUCAAGUCCAAGGGUACAUAUACAAAGUUGCUUGGUAAUUCAUGUGCAUGUAUUUUGUCCAUGUGUAGAGAAGUACUACACAUUCAAUUCUGCAAAGAUUAGAAGUUGAGACUAAGGCCAUGUAAAUGUCAAGUGUCUUUGUACGAAUGACUAUGUCGCAGUGACGACCAUGAGAUUGAAGCUAGGGUAGAUGUAUACUUGUUUGUAACCCUUAAAGUUAGAUUAGGACAUUAUUUUAUUUAUUUUUGAUGAGGAAGAAGGUUGGACUAAUUUAAACCAAAUUUAUGGUGACU